rnacentral:rRNA from 1 species
GACGGAGGGUGCAAGCGUUGUUCGGAAUCACUGGGCGUAAAGCGCGUGUAGGCGGUUCGAUAAGUCGGACGUGAAAGCCCGGAGCUCAACUCCGGAAGUGCAUCCGAAACUGUCGGGCUUGAGUACGGGAGAGGGAAGCGGAAUUCCUGGUGUAGAGGUGAAAUUCGUAGAUAUCAGGAGGAACACCGGUGGCGAAGGCGGCUUCCUGGACCGAUACUGACGCUGAGACGCGAAAGCGUGGGGAG